rnacentral:rRNA from 1 species
GAUGAACCGUGCGAACGUUGUUCGGAAUCACUGGGCUUAAAGGGCGCGUAGGCGGCUGCGUAAGUCUCGGGUGAAAUCUUUCGGCUCAACCGGAAACGUGCCUGGGAUACUGCGCAGCUCGAGGGAGGUAGGGGCGGACGGAACUUCCGGUGGAGCGGUGAAAUGCGUUGAUAUCGGAAGGAACGCCGGUGGCGAAAGCGGUCCGCUGGACCUCUACUGACGCUGAGGCGCGAAAGCCAGGGGAGCAAACGGG